AUUUCUCUACAAGAAAAGAGAAAGAAUAAGCAAUAGGCUUGCAAUUCUCAAUUUCUAUGUGUACAAUAGGUCUUGUAAUUUUGUUUGCUCCAUAGAAGUUCUUAACAACGAGUUAUACCUCUAUCGCAUGCAAGGCAACGUUACAAAAUUUUGAAUUGUGCUGACGCACGAGAGAGGAUGUAUUAUACAUGGAACACGGAACAGUUAAAUGGUUCAACGCAGAAAAAGGCUUCGGAUUUAUCUCACGGGAAGACGGUAGCGACGUAUUCGUUCACUUCUCAGCAAUCCAAGGCGAAGGUUUCAAAACUUUAGAAGAAGGUCAAGCAGUGACUUUCGACGUUGAAGAUUCAGACCGCGGCCCUCAAGCUGUAAACGUUACUAAAGACUAAUAUCUUAGAAAACGUACCGAUUCUCCAUUUUGGAGGAUCGGUUUUU
rnacentral:other from 1 species